UCAUUGUUUUUUUUCUUCCUUUUCUUCCUUCUGUUUUUCUUCUUCGUUUCUUGAAUGUCCAAAUUGUGAAUUUUGGUGAUCAUCUUUAUGGAAUCUGUCAUUGCUUGAAAAGAAAACCUAGAAUGGAAACAGCGAAUUUGUUGUUGUGUUUCGUGAGCCUUGGCGUUCGCUACAACCCUAAAUACUUUCUGCAAUCGAAACUGGGAAUCUGUUUCCUAGCUUUCUAAGUAUUUCGUCGAAAUUCAAUUGGUUUGUAGUAGAAAUCAAUAUAUGAAUCACGGAAGGUUGUGAUUCUAGUUGAAGAGAUUUCGGUUAAGUAGGUUUUAAGGAAAGUGUAGUAAAACCAGACAAUGACCAGAAGAGCCAGUAGCUGUGCUAUAUGCGAGAAUUCAAAUCACGCUUCAAUAUGUGCUAUGUGCGUUAAUUACAGAUUAAAUGAGUACAAUACAGCAUUAAAAUCAUUGAAGAGUGUCCGUGACUCCCUGUAUUUGCGAUUGAGUGCAGAACUUGAGGCAAAGGGUAAAACGGAUGACCAGAUCAAUUGGAGAGUUCUUCAGAAUGAGAAACUUGCAAGAUUGAGGGAGAAGCUCCAUCUUGCAGAGAAACAACUACUGCAAAGGAAGGCUAUGCUUCAAAAUAUGUCUAAUGAUUUAAAGGUUAGAUAUGAGAUGCUUGAAUCAGCUCAGUGCACGUUGGAAAAGAAUCAUGUGGAGCAGAUAGAGAGUUUCUACCCAAACCUUAUUUGCACUCAAAGCCUAGGUCAUAUGGCCAUUACCUCUGAACGCCUUCACAAACAGUCAGUAGUUAUAAAACAGAUUUGCAAAUUGUUUCCACAACGCCGGGUGAAUAUUGAUGGAGAGAGAAAAGAUGGAUCUAGUGGUCAAUAUGAUCAAAUAUGCAAUGCUCGCUUACCAAGAGGUCUUGAUCCCCAUUCUGUUCCACCUCAAGAGCUUGCAGCCUCCCUUGGGUACAUGGUGCAACUUCUAAAUGUUGUAGUUCAGAACUUGGCUGCACCUGCACUUCAUAAUUCAGGUUUUGCGGGUUCAUGCUCACGUAUAUGGCAAAGGAAUUCAUAUUGGGAUGCUCGGCCAUCUUCUCGGAGCAAUGAAUAUCCCCUUUUUAUACCCCGUGAGAACUGUUGCUCCACAAGUGCAGAGAAUUCAUGGUCUGAUAAAAGUUCAAGUAAUUUUGGUGUUGCUUCAAUACAGUCAGAAAAGAAACCUCAUCUGGAUUCUGCUGGAAGUGGUAGCAUUAAUUAUUCUUCUGCUUCUGUGCAUUCAGUUGAAACUCACAAGGACCUGCAGAAAGGGAUAUCACUUCUCAAGAAAAGUGUAGCAUGCAUUACAGCAUAUUGUUACAACUCACUGUGUUUAGAUGUCCCAUCUGAGGCAUCCACUUUUGAAGCAUUUGCAAGGUUGUUAGCCACACUGUCUUCCUCCAAGGAAGUUCGAUCAGUUGUUUCCUUGAAAAUGGCAGGUUCAAGGUCUUGUAAGCAAGUCCAACAAUUGAAUAAAUCUGUAUGGCAUGUGAAUUCAGCCAUCUCAUCAAGCAGUUUAUUGGAGAGUGCACAUUCGACACCUACAAUGCGUAACACUUGUGAAAAUAACCUUUCAAAUUCUGCUGCUAGUUUUCUUUAUGCUCCUGAGAUGUCUGAUAUUGGAAAAGUGGAAAGCCUUGUUGAAGGGUGGGAUAUUGUGGAGCAUCCCACUUUGCCCCCUCCACCAUCACAGACUGAGGACAUCGAGCAUUGGACAAGGGCUAUGUUUAUUGAUGCUACAAAGAGAUGAUGAUGCUGAGAAAUAUAGUAUUUUGCAAGUAAAUAUUUACUUGAACUCAUCUUUCUGUUCUUUCAGAGAAGGACAGGUUUCUCCAAUUAUGUAGAUAAAAAACAGUUAGAGAAGUUCGCAUAUGUAAAUAUAUAUGGGUUUUAAGGUUUGCCUAUCUCCAUUUGCUUCCAAGUCCCUGCAAUUAAAAUUCAAAAGAAAGUAUUUUCUUCUAUAUUUGAAUAUUUUUUGGUUUGAAAUGUAGGAUUGGAAAAUGCGUUGUAAAGCAUCAAUAUACAACCCAUGUUACUUUUCUUUUUACUGGAUGAUCCAUUUCUCUUUUCUUUUAUCCUGCUUAUA